rnacentral:rRNA from 1 species
UGUCCCUCUUAGUUCGGGAUAGCCACUGGAAACGGUGAUUAAUACCGGAUACUCCUUCUUAUUAUAAGAUAAGUCGGGAAAGUUUUUUCGCUAAGAGAUCCAGUCUAUGUCCCAUCAGUUUGUUGGUGAGGUAAUGGCUCACCAAGACUAUGACGGGUAUCUGGUUUGAGAGGAUGAUCAGACACACUGGAACUGAGACACGGUCCGGACUCCUACGGGAGGCAGCAGUGAGGAAUAUUGCACAAUGGAGGAAACUCUGAUGCAGCAACGCCGCGUGGAGGAUGACGCAUUUCGGUGUGUAAACUCCUUUUAAGAGGGAAGAUAAUGACGGUACCUCUUGAAUAAGCACCGGCUAACUCCGUGCCAGCAGCCGCGGUAAUACGGAAGGUGCAAGCGUUACUCGGAAUCACUGGGCGUAAAGGGUGCGUAGGCUGGCUUCUAAGCUCAGAUGUGAAAUCCAAUGGCUCAACCAUUGAACUGCAUUUGAAACUGGGAGCCUAGAGUUCAGAAGGGGCAGAUGGAAUUAGUGGUGUAGGGGUAAAAUCCGUAGAUAUCACUAGGAAUAUCAAAGCGAAGGCGAUCUGCUGGGAUGAUACUGACGCUGAGGCACCAAAGCGUGGGGAGCAAACAGGAUUAGAUACCCUGGUAGUUCCACGCCCUAAACGAUGAAUGCUAGUCGUCGGGGAGCUCGUUCUUCGGUGAUGCNCCUANCAGAUAGCAUCCGCUGGGAGUACGUCGCAGAUAAACUCANAGGAUAGACGGGACCGCACAGUGGUGGAGCAUGUGUUAAUUCGAAGAUACNCGAAGACCUUACUGGCCUUGACAUGUAGGGAACCCUAAGAGAUAGGGGUGCUAGCUUGCUAGAACUACACACAGGUGCUGCACGGCUGUCGUCAGCUCGUGUCGUGAGAUGUUGGGUUAAGUCCCGCAACGAGCGCAACCCUCGUCCUUAGUUGCUAACAGUUUGGCUGAGCACUCUAGGGAGACUGCCUUCGUAAGGAGGAGGAAGGUGAGGACGACGUCAAGUCAUCAUGGCCCUUACGGCCAGGGCUACACACGUGCUACAAUGGGGCGUACAGAGAGCUGCAAUACCGCGAGGUGGAGCCAAUCUCUUAAAGCGUCUCUCAGUUCGGAUUGUUCUCUGCAACUCGAGAACAUGAAGCUGGAAUCACUAGUAAUCGCGGAUCAGCUAUGCUGCGGUGAAUACGUUCCCGGGUCUUGUACUCACCGCCCGUC